UGAGUAACCUGCCCUUAACUCUGGGAUAAGCCUGGGAAACUGGGUCUAAUACCGGAUAUGACUCCUCAUCGCAUGGUGGGGGGUGGAAAGCUUUUUGUGGUUUUGGAUGGACUCGCGGCCUAUCAGCUUGUUGGUGAGGUAAUGGCUCACCAAGGCAUUGACGGGUAGCCGGCUGAGAGGGUGACCGGCCACACUGGGACUGAGACACGGCCCAGACUCCUACGGGAGCAG
rnacentral:rRNA from 1 species